rnacentral:sRNA from 15 species
UAUAUUCCCCAUUAGGGGGGAUGAGAAUCCCCGACCGGGGUUCGACAAUGGGCGCAGCCCGUUGGACGGAAUGGCCGCAGGCCAUGACGCCCGCAGGGCGAGCGAAGCGAGUCAAUCCCCCCCUCACCGCCA